rnacentral:rRNA from 1 species
GACGAACGCUGGCGGCGUGCUUAACACAUGCAAGUCGAACGGAAAGGCCCUGCUUUUGUGGGGUGCUCGAGUGGCGAACGGGUGAGUAACACGUGAGUAACCUGCCCUUGACUUUGGGAUAACUUCAGGAAACUGGGGCUAAUACCGGAUAGGAGCUCCUGCUGCAUGGUGGGGGUUGGAAAGUUUCGGCGGUUGGGGAUGGACUCGCGGCUUAUCAGCUUGUUGGUGGGGUAGUGGCUUACCAAGCCUUUGACGGGUAGCCGGCCUGAGAGGGUGACCGGCCACAUUGGGACUGAGAUACGGCCCAGACUCCUACGGGAGGCAGCAGUGGGGGAUAUUGCACAAUGGGCGGAAGCCUGAUGCAGCAACGCCGCGUGCGGGAUGACGGACUUCGGGUUGUAAACCGCUUUCGCCUGUGACGAAGCGUGAGUGACGGUAAUGGGUAAAGAAGCACCGGCUAACUACGUG